UGUCCCCCUGGCCGUUGUUACCAUGCCUGACACACAAAUCACGUUCUGCGGGCUGUGCUAGUGUGGCCCUAUGCCAUGCUAGCCCCAAGCCAUGCUAGCCCCAAGCAUUCUAUAGCCUAGCAUGGCUUCCUGUCACAGACUCUGUUCACACUCUCAACUACCGGGUGAAAUCAUUUCUCAACAAACUGGGACCCAACAACCAGAUUUAUAUGUUAAAUGCUCAACGCACAAUACAUCCACACAAUUAAGUUACAGUCAAUCGAUAAGGAUAUAAGCCGCCCACCUAGAUAAGAUAUAAUUUGCUCAUCCAGACACACAAAGUCCUGUACACAUCCAUCCCUUAAGAAUAGUCAUAGCAACCUGUAAAUGUGCAGAGAGAAAUCUUAACAUCUGCGGCCAUGUUCUCUCGGCUGUGCCUUCCCCUCUUUCUGGCCUCCUCUGCCUCUUUAAAACUUUUCUCCCGCCCAUUCUUCCUUCUCAUCCAAUGACAGGCCUCGUUCUAUCCUGUACCUGCCUUCACCUGCAUAAUGACAUCAACCUACAGACUAGGUUACCAAGUAAACCAGGCUGACCUCAAGCUUUUCCUUCUCCUUCCCGGUCAUUCACUGAUGGGAUACAUCGUUUUGUUUGCUCUUUCUCUCAUGUCUACUGGCCACACAGAAUGACUUGGAAGUGGACACUCACUGCUUACUUUUUUGAGAGGAGGAAAGCAAAUGUGUGUACAAACUCGGUGGACCCAAGAUCCAUUUCCAAUACGUGCUGGUAAGUUUCCCAUCUUGAAAGUGAGACAGGAACACAUCCAUCACGAUAUUCUUCUUUUCUUAUGGCCAACACCUUUACUCUUGUAACGUAAGGUUUCACAAAGAGUUCCCCAAAUAAAGGUAGAUCAAAAGUGGUUAGGUACUUAACCUUGGUAGUCAUGGGUAGUCACAUAACUCAGUCUUCAACUGUCAAUUUGGUAAAGUAGACAGGGUCCUAUCUAACCUUAGUAGGUCCUAGUACCAUGUAGUCCUCUCUUCCAUAACUUCCAAUUAGGACUCUUUUUGAUGGUAGUACACAAGAAGAGAAUAGCUCCAAGAAGCUCCAUAGACCAUGAUGAAAAUCUCUCAGCUAACCAUUGUUCUGAUCCUCCAUGAACUCUGUAAGUCUGACUUUGCUCCGUUUCCUUGUACUUCCAGCAUGCCCCACAUUUGACCAUGUGGGGAAAGCAGUUAUUAAGAACCCAGUGUGAGCCAUGCCAGCUGGAUGUAAUUUUUAGAGUAUGGCUUUCAUCCUCUAUUUUCGGAAGGCAUUCUAGUCAGUUUCCAGUUGGUCAGCAUUCCUGAGACACGUGGUUCAUCAGAGGUCACUCACAGGGCCGGCCCGGGCGUGAGAAGGAGGCAUCCUACACACGGGUCUUUCAAAGGAAAGCAACGCUGUUUUAACUGAGAUGCCACCAAGUUCUGUUACACUGCAGCUGCCAUCCUGCAGCUCGGAUUUCUCUAAACAUUGCUAAGAGCCAGGGUAAGGGAUUAUCAAAGUAUUACGAGUUAUUUCAGAAAUGCUUGGAAUGGUGCGCUUGUUAUUCAAGGAACUUGCUUGGUACUAGCUGACAUAUUCUCAGAUGAAAGACGCUGGGUCCAAAGUAGAUAAACCUUUUAUCAUACAAUGAUUUGCAACAGAUGCAAAAAUCCCCUUCCUCUUUUCCCAGAUGCCGUUUCUACAUUCAGGAUGAUCUAUACUCACAUUCUCAGCAAAGGAUUGAAUGUGACAAAAAUGCUUCUUUCUGGAUUUCAUCUUUCACCAAGGGAAAGUUUUCAUACAGUGAAAUGUGCACAGCUCUGGGGGGGUCUGUAUAAUUCACUGAGCUUUGAUAACUGUAUAUUCCUGGGUUAUUAUUUACAAGGAAGAUACAGAUAUUUCUCUUACCCCAGCAAAUUUGCCCAUUCAUAUUUAUAUUCUUCCCACUUCCUGUAGGCAAGUGUUUACGUGUUUUUCUGUCAGCACAUAUUUUUGCCUAUUCCGGAACUUUGGGUGUGUAAGCCCAAGCAAUGUGUCCUCUUGCACAUCUGUGUUCUGUUCUUUGGUUCAUUGUCAGGCUUUCGCCGUUGGGCAUAUUGCUGCACAGAUUAGUAGCUUUCUGAGUUUGUGCAAUCUGUGAGUAAUUUUUUUCCCCCUCACAAGAUGUGAGAAAUCUCCAGCUAUGACCUAAAGUAUUUGUUUCUUCUCAUUCGUUUUCUCAGGUCACUUCAUCUUGUCCUGAAUGCCGCUGAAACUUCCUUUUUCUUCUUUUCUCCAGAGUGGGCUUCUGAUAGUUUAAUCUGAAGUUCAUUAACUUAUUUUACAAGUUUGCAUUCAUUCACUGGAACAUGGUUAAUUUAUUUAAUUAUUCAUUUUGUGGGUGUGUGUGUAUGUUGAGGGGUACAGUGUGUGUGUGUGUGUGUGUGUGUGUGUGUGUGUGUGUGUGUGUAUGUACAUGUUCAUGUGCAUGCAAUGUAUAUGUGUAUGCCAGAGGUCUAUGUCUAGUGGCUUUCUCAAAUACUCUCCACAUUUUUUUGGAUACAGGUAAUUCUGAUGAACCUGGACAUUGCUUAUUCAACCAGACUGGUUGGUUAGUGCGUCCUGUACUCUGUCCUAUAUCUUCUGCUAUCCCUAAUAUACAGAUAGAUGAGUCUGUGUCUGGUUUAUUUAUUUUUAGUGUGUGUGUCUAUAUGUGUGCAUAGGUGGGUGUGUGUGCGCUUGUGAGUGUGUGAGUACACGCUCAGGCACACAUAUACCACAGCACACAUAUAGAGGUCAGAGGGCAACUCUCAGGCGUUGCUCCUCUCCUGCUACCUUGCCGAAUCUGGGAAUCCAAUUUAGGUCAUUUCCUCUGUGCACACACAUUUCAACAGCCUGUUCCUGGCUUUAUAUGUAGGUGUUAGAGAUCUAAAUACAGGUACUCAUGUUUGUGAGAUAAGUACCUUACCAAGCUAUGAACUGGUCAGGCUCCCAUUAAAAGCUUGCAAUAACUCUAUUGUCUUCCUUUCCUGUAAGCUGUUUGGUUUAGUGAAAACUUCAGUUAUUGGCUUACCGCCUUUGUAUUGUUGGUCAUCUGUUUUGUUAUAACAUAUUUCUGGAAAGUUCUGAAGGUUUUCUAAGCCCUUCUAAUUGAUAGGAUUCAGAUUCCAAACUUCUUCCCUAUGUGUAGCAAAUAGUUCUCUCUCUCUCUCUCUCUCUCUCUCUCUCUCUCUCUCUCUCUCUCUCUUUCUCUUUUUCCCCCUUGAGAUAGCAUCCCAUGCUUCUCAGACUGGUCUUAAACUUGUUUAUUUCUCUGAGAAUGACCUAGAACUUCUGUUCUUCCUGACACCCACCUCCUGAUUAUAAAUAUGUCCCCAUAGCAAGUAUGUGGUGUUGGGGGUUGAGCGCAGGACUUCAUGCAUGCUAGGCAAGCACUUUACCAACUGAGUUACAUCCCAAUCUCCACAGCAAAUAAAAUUCUUACUCGGUUCUUUUAUAUUUCCUGCUAUUUUUUCUUUUCUCUCUUUUUUUUCUUACAAGGUUUUGGAGUUUAUCUCUGUUAAGCAUAGUUUUGGAGGAAGAGCCAAGAAUUUAUAACAAUUUAUAUGUAGCUUUUGGAGGCCAUUUAUUGGGCAGAGCUGAAGUCUGCUCUCUGGCUUCUUAAUUUAAUGAUGUGCCUUUCCGUCUGAGUUUUCUGUACCCUGAAUCACAUGUGCACUGGGAAGUGUUCCCAGGAGAAAGGCAGGGAAAUGUGGACCUCACUCAAUAAAUGGAGUUUGUUAUAUUCAAAAAUUUAACCUUCACUGGAAGGUACUUUACAUAAUACCAAAGGAGAAAGGCAAACAAAAAUCCAGCUACACUCCCUUUGAUCUACAAUGAUGAGCUGCCUGCAAGAUACACUGAUAAAAUAGUGAACUGUAUUUUUCCUUUGUUCUGUUGAGAUAGGGUCUCACGGAGACUGCAAUGGCCUCAGAUGCACUACACAGCUAAGUAUGACCUUAAGCUCCUAUCUGCCUCAAGUUCCUGGGUGUUAGGAUUACAAGCAAGUGCUAGCACAGCUUUAAACAGUUUAUUCUUUGGAAUGCAUUGAGAGAGAGAGAGAGAGAGAGAGAGAGAGAGAGAGAGAGAGAGAGAGAGAGAGAGAGAGAGAGACUUCUAGGAGUUCAGUCUAAUUCAAAGCACUCUGUAAUUACUAAACCUGAGUUUAAUCUUAAAACAAUUACUUUUUGGAAAUGGUCAAAUAAAUAUUUAUAUUAUUUAUUUUCCUCCUUGGCCUCAUCUUUUCUCUUUUAUCCAAAAAGAUUUUUUUUAUUCUUAUUUUCCCCCUACACUGCAGCCUUUUUACCUUCAAGUUCCUCCCACCCCAGCCUCUCUCCCCGUUCCUCACCACUUUUACUAGAAUGCUCCUUGACUUACAAAUUCACCAUAUAUUGAAAGUAUCCUAAGUAGAAAAUGCAUUUAGAAUACUUAACCUACAAGCAUCCUGGCUUAGCAUCACAGCACCAUGUAGAAUUUAGGCCGUUUUAGCUUUAUGACAGCGUGGCUCAUUGGCAGGUGUGGCUGGCUCGUGUCGCAAACAAUCAGCCCAAGAAAGGAUCUAAAUUCAAAAUGCGAAGUACGGUUGUAUUGAAUACCUGUUGCUUUCUUACCCCCAUAGAGUUAAAGGAUUUGAGUUGCACUAUCACAGACUGGGCACUAUGUUAGACUAUUUGCUUUUCUUUUCUUUUCUUUUUUUUUAACAAAGAAAAACAAGUGUUUAUUUCUCUACCUUCUUCCUAAAAGGCAGGUACUCAAAACUAUAUGGGGAUGAACCAAUAGGAACGCUAGACUUAUAAGUAAUAAGUCAUGCAAUAUGUGGGGUAUUUAUGUGGAAACAAAUUCCCAAGGACUUUUAGUUCAUGUAAGUUCAAUCUUUACAUUAUUAUGAGAAUGUAUUUAUUUUAUUUUUUUUCUGUCCACUUCUUUUUUUUUUUUUUAUUUAUUAACUUGAAUAUUUCUUAUAUACAUUUCGAGUGUUAUUUCCUUUCCCGGUUUCCGGGCAAACAUCCCCCUAAUCCCUCCCCCUCCCCUUCUUUACGGGUGUUCCCCUCUCCAUCCUCCCCCCAUUGCCGCCCUCCCCCCAACAAUCUAGUUCACUGGGAGUUCAGUCUUAGCAGGACCCAGGGCUUCCCCUUCCACUGGUGCUCUUUCUAGGAUAUUCAUUGCUACCUAUGAGGUCAGAGUCCACGGUCAGUCCAUGUAUAGUCUUUAGGUAGUGGCUUAGUCCCUGGAAGCUCUGGUUGCUUGGCAUUGUUGUACAUAUGGGGUCUCGAGCCCCUUCAAGCUCUUCCAGUUCUUUCUCUGAUUCCUUCAACGGGGGUCCUAU